rnacentral:lncRNA from 1 species
UCACAAUGAUGCAUUGGUAAUAUCCUUACUUAUACAUUACAUUGAUGUAAACUGAGUUUUGAUUGAUCCAGAAAGUUCUGCAAAUAUCACUCUACUAAGGGUACUGUGGAAAAUGCAAGCUGAAGAUAAAAUGAUACCCAAGGCGCAUACUUUGUCGGGCUUCGACAAUUCAAAUGUGGUAACAAAAGGUGAGGUAAUUCUAACAACUUUUGCGCAGGUGUUAUAAAAGAAACUAAGUUUCAGGUAGUUGAUAUGGAUACGGUGUGCAACAUAAUCAUGGGGAGACCCUGGAUCCAUGAUAUGGAUGUUGUUCCAUCAACUUUUUCAUCAAGUUAUUAAGUUUCCAUCACCCUGGGGAAUACGUCAAAUUUGAGGAGAUCAACAAGCAGCCAGGAGUAUAAAAGCCGUAACAGAUACGAGUACCGCGAGUAAAGAGAAAUAGCAAUUAGAGGAAACAAUUGGAGGUGUCAACAAUCAAACUUCAACUGAAUAACAAAAAAUAGAUUUAGACUCAAGACAUGAUGUAAUUCAAGAACCUGAAGAAAAUGAGAACAUUAAAACAACAAUAGAGGAGCUUGAGGCUGUGGUGCUAUUUGAGCAAUGGCCUGAAAGAAAGGUUUGCGUAGGAGCCAAUCUAAAUCCCGACAUGCAAGGUAUGUUAAUUGAGUUUUUAAAAGCUAACGUGGAUUGUUUUGCUUGGUCCCACGCUGAUAUGACAUGAAUACCACCUGAUGUGAUGACUCACAAACUCAACGAGGACCCAUCUUUCAUACCUAUAAAGCAAAAGAAAAAAAAGCAAGGUGCAUUAAAGAAUCAGGUAAUUCAAGAUAAAGUCCAAAAAUUAUUAAAGAUUGGAUCAAUCUGCGAGGUAAAGUAUCCUAAUUGGUUAGCUAAUACGGUGGUCGUACCUAAAAAGAACGGUAAGUGGCAUGUUUGUGUGGAUAAUACUGAUCUAAACAAAGCUUGCCCAAAAGACUCUUUCCCUUUACCGCAUAUAGAUCAAUUAAUUGACGCAAUCGCAGGUCAUGAACUUCUAAGCUUUUUAGAUGCAUAUUCGGGAUAUAAUCAAAUUAAAAUGGAUCCUGAUGAUGAUGAAAAAACUUCUUUCAUCAUAGACAGGGGGACUUACAGUUAUAAAGUAAUGCCCUUUGGUCACAAAAAUGGAGCAACCUAUCAAAGGUUAGUCACCAAAAUGUUUCAAGAACUUUUGGGACAAACUAUGGAGGUAUAUAUAGACGAUAUGCUCGUCAAAACCCAUCAUUCUCACGAUCAUAUUUCUCACUUAACUAUUACAUUUGAAAUUUUACGGAAAUUUAACAUGAAACUCAACCCAGAAAAGUGUGCAUUUGNNNNNNNNNNNNNNNNNNNNNNNNNNNNNNNNNNNNNNNNNNNNNNNNNNNNNNNNNNNNNNNNNNNNNNNNNNNNNNNNNNNNNNNNUAAGUAAAUUCUUGGGUUUUCUUGUUUCUAACCGUGGCAUUGAAGUAAAUCCUUCUCAGAUAAAGCAAUAGAAGAAAUACCUGAUAUCCUUACCAAUAAGAAGGUGGUUCAAAGACUAACGGUAAGGAUUGCCGCCUUGGGAAAAUAUUUUACGUUCUUUUCUGCUUUCAAAAAGGAAGAUCAUUUUGAGUGGAACGAAGAUUGUCAACAAGCCCUUAGGAGCUUGAAAGCUUACUUAUCAAAUCCUCCACUGUUGGCGAAACCAAAGGAAGGUGAAACAUGCUUAUCUACUUAGCAGUAUCAGAAGUUGCGGUAAGUGCUAUUUUGGUACGUCUUUAUUAUGUAAGCAAAUCUUUAUUAGAUGUUGAGACACGAUAUCCACAACUAGAAAAGUAAGCACUAGCUUUGAUCAUGGCAUCUAGGAAAUUAAGACCUUAUUUUCAAUGUCAUCCAAUUGUCUCAGGUUCUUUCAAAUUGGGGACUUCGUUCUAAAAAAGUGUUCCAAUCUACGAAGACAACUAAUUCAGGAAAGCUAAGUCCAACGUGGGAAGGACCUUAAUUUCUUUUCCAUUACGAAACAUUUUGCAUAAACAUGAAUUAUCAGGAAGAUUAGCAAAAUAGGCUAUAGAAUUAAGUGGGUAUGAAAUUAUUUAUCAACCUAGGACUGCUAUAAAAUCUCAAGUUCUCGUUGAUUUCGUAGCGGAUUUUUGUCAAGGGAUGCAUUUAGAAGCGGAAAGAAAUUACAAGUCUUUAAUGGAAUAAACCCAGGAACUUGGAUUUUGUGUACUGAUGGUUCAUCUAAUGUAAAAGGAGCAUGUUUAGGAAUUGUUCUUAAACCACCUAUGGGUAAGACCAUUAGACAGGCUAAAAUAUCACCUAUAAUUAAUAAUGAAGCAUAGUGAGCAGGCUUAGGAAUUGUUCUUAAACCACCUACGGGUAAGACCAUUAGACAGGCUAUAAAAUGUCACCCUGUAACUAACAAUGAAGCAGAGUAUGAAGCUGUGAUUACAGGUUUAGAGUUGGUACUGGAACUUGGCAUCACACAUAUUAUAAUCAAGAGUGAUUCACAGCUCGUGGUAAAUCAAAUACUGGGGACUUAUGUAGCAAGGGAAACACGAAUGCAAGAGUAUCUCGAAAAGGUACGAGAACUGAUAAGACAGUUCCAAACUUGGAAGGUAAUGCAAAUCCCAAGAGAGGAGAACGCGGAGGCAGAUGCUCUAGCUAAUCUUGCAUCUACGGCAGACAUAGAAAAUGACGCAAAUGCUUCAAUCAUACAUUUAUUCCAUUUAGUUCUCGAACCUGACAAAAAUGGGGUAAAUUUUAAUCACUUAACUUGGGAUUGGAGAAACGAAAUAGUAAUUUUUUGCAGCAUGGAACCGUUCUUGAGGAUAAAAUAAAGGUUCAUGCACUUCGAAAGAAAGCUGCUUGUUAUUGCCUAUAUCAAGGAAACCUUUACCGAAAAAUGUUUGGUGCUCCAUUAGCAAGGUGUCACGAUCCUUCUCAAACGGAGUAUGUGAUAAGAGAAAUACAUGAGAGACAUUGUGGAAAUCAUGCAUGAGGCAUGUCACUUGUAAAGACAUUGAUUCAAGCAGGAUACUAUUGGCCUAAAAUGGAAGAGAAAGCGAAUGAUUUCGUGUCUAAAUGUGACAGAUGUCAAAGAUACGGUAACAAUAUGCAUAGACCAGCCGAAUUAUUACAUCAUGUUGUAUCUCUGUGGCCCUUCAUGAAAUGGGGGAUAGACAUCGUAAGUCCAUUACCACAAGCAAAAGGUCAGGUAAAGUUUUUACUCGUACUUACUGAUUAUUUCACUAAAUAGGUAGAGGGCAUUCAAACAGGUACGAUAGAAAGAGGUUAAAGAUUUUAUCUGGAGAAACAUCAUAUGUCGCUUAGGGGUACCAAAGGAAAUCGUAUGUGAUAAUGGUCCACAAUUCAUAGGAGCACAAAUCAGGAGUUCUUCCAAAGUUGGCAAAUUAAAAGGAUAACUUCAAGAACAUACCAUCCUGUAAGCAAUGGAUAAGUGGGAUCCACAAACAAAGUCAUAAUCAAUAUUUUAAAGAAAAGAUUGCAAGACUCAAAAGGCAAUUGGCCUGAAGUGUUACCUGCAAUACUAUGGGCGUAUCGAACAACAACGAAAACAAGCACGGGAGAAACGCCAUUUUCAAUGGUUUAUAGAGCAGGGGCCUUAAUACUAGUAGAGAUCGGGGAACUAAGCACAAGGUACGUUGUUUCAACGGAAGACUCAAACAAUGAAGAGUUACGAGUGAAUCUUGAUUUACAUUACCCCGAAGGAUAAUGUAUAAGGGAGUUUUUCCACUUUAAGUGACAUUAUUCAAAAUGGGAUUAUUUCUUUAUUUUUAGAGUCGCCACUUGGGAUAAGAUUGGCUUUUGGUGUCCCAAGUCACCGGUUUAAAUUGAAUCCCAAAUCGAGGAAAAUUUCGACUUCCAGUUGGAGUCUGCAAACCAGAAAUUCUAAGCAAGGAAUUCUGUUGACCCGAGGGAAGGUGUUAGGCACCCUUGGAUUCCGUGGUUCUAGCAUGGUUGCUUAAACUAUUACAAAUGGCUAAAAUCUGAUUUUUAUACAUGUUCCAACCUAUAGUGCGAUUUAAAGAUUAUUUACCGCUUUUAAUUUGAUUUUAAAGAAAGUGAACGUCAGUUUAAAAACGUGCUUUUCGAUCACGUCACAUGGAAUGCACCCGGAUCCUCGAAAUAUUCUUAUUCGACGUUUUUGGAUUUGGAUUUAGGUUGCAUGAAAUGCACACCUGUAUUUAAGAAGGUAAUUUUAUUUAAGUAACAGACCUAAAGCAACUAACGUGUUUAUUAUCUUUGCGAGGGCCAUGAUAAUUUGCUAAAUGACAUGCCUCGGAUUUCUAUGCAGUAAAGUUAAUCAAGUGAGGGCCAUGUGUUUUGAGAUUUUAAUUGACAUGGCACACCUCAAAUUAUAACAAAAACAACAACAACCCAGUAUAACCUCACCUAGUGGGGUCUGGGGAGGUUAGUAUGUACGCAGAUCUUACCCCUACACUUGGGUAGAGAGGUUGUUUCCAAAUAGAUCCCCGGCAUCCUUCCCCCCAAGAACUUCCUACCUUGCUCUUGGGGAGACUCGAACUCAGAACCUCUCUGUUGAAAGUGGGGGUUGCUUACCAUCAGAGCAACCCCUCUCGUCAUGGCACACCUCAAAUUAUUCCUAAGAAUUUAUGACUUAAUUAAAGCAGACUACGAUGUUCUUAAUUUGUUAUUUCCCUAAACUUUGGUUUAAAACAAUAGGCUUAAUAAAACCAGAUUCAAACCAUAUGUAUCAAAUUGAAUCUACUGGGCAUCACCUUAGUGUAAAUGCAUAAAAGAAAAAUGGAAGGAAAGGAAUCAUGAUACCGUGACAAAUUGCUCAUGAAAACUUAGAAGAAACAAUACACAUUUACGUGCAUUCGUAACCCAACAAUUGAAACAGUGCCAUGUUCACUUCGUACAUUACUACUAAAUUCUUUAUACAUGUACUUCCUCUCCAUCAUUAGUCCCACUACCGUUCAAAAUAAUUGAUCCAUUUCCCUUGUCAACACAUGAAAGAUAAUCCAAACCGACCAAUACUUUUCAGAAUCACCCCCACAAACUUUCCUCUACCCAAAAAGCAUACAAAUAUCAAUGAAUUUAACAGCCGGCCGCUACAGAUCAUAAAUGAAUAUAACAACUUUCUCGCUAAAAGAUCAUAAAUCAGCAUUAAGUUGACAGCACCAGAAACUAAUCAAAGGAGGAAAUUUCGGCAAGUUCAAUAGCUGGCAUAUUCAAUGUAAUCAAAGAAAAGUCUAGCUACUAGUGGCCUAGAACUUGAAUUCAAUUUAUUAAAUGCAGGAAAACUUCCCAUCCUUACAUACAACAAUGAAAUAAUUCUUCACGAUAUUAUGCAAAAGCCAGCAAUAUGAAUGAAUCAAUGGUAUCACAGUCCACAAUGCAACAGAUUAAAAGAGUUACUUAGAAAAUGUAAAAGGACUGAAAAAUAAACCAUAAACUUGAUUAUCCACUGAAACCAUAAAUACAGAGGAGUUCAGACUGACCUAUUUCAGCAAGGAAGUUAAUAUGAGCCAAAUAAGAGCAGCAAAUCAGUUCAAACAGCUCGGCAAAAUAGAUAGAGCAAAUGCAACAACAUAUAUCUGGCACAAACUUCAGAAUCCUAGAGAAUGAGAAGACGAGGCAGUAGCAACUUCAAACGAAUUUUCUCUUGAUUUUUUUGCUAGAGAUUUUCAUAUUCAAAGAUACCGGAAUCCGUGUAUAUUCUUUUUCCGGAUUCGAAACAAACUCGACAGCUUCACUAAACUAUGAAAAUUCCCCAAAAGUGUAGAACAACGAAUUGAAAUUGAACCCAACUUUGUAACCUUGAAUUUCAGAUCUGAUCUCUGUAAUUUCACGACCUUGCUAGAGGCCUAAGCAUGUGUGUCUUCUCAUGAAGUGUAUGAGCAGGAUGUAUAUAUGAGAAUGGAGAAGUUUCAGAGCUGCUUCCAUGGCAUUUUGGUUGUUUUUUCUAGCUGAUUUUGUGAUUUUGAGAUUGCGGCUGUUUUUGGGGUCGAUUGGUGAGUGUGUGUAUGUGUUAUGACUGAUUUUAUAUGGAGAGAAUGGAGGAGCAGGGGCCUUUUCGUUGAAGAUGAUGGGAGCACGCAGAAGAGGUCCAAGCUCCGAGUGAAACAAAAAUGAGGAAGGGGUCACGCUAUUUCCGUGUCACUAGCUCCCUCCCCGUUCUUUCGCGUGUUCUCUUUUAAUGAGGGAGGGGGGUCCGAU